GUCGAUGCGAGCGCUUGGUACACAGACACGCAGGAACUGGGCGUUGUUGUUCGCCGUGGGCGAUUCCCUUCAAAAGCUUGAUAGUUUUCGCUUGGACUUCAGUUACUAGUGAUCAGAACGAUGCAAGCGUUGAGGGCUUGCCGCGGCUUUGGACGCUGGAGCACUGGCGCCACGACAGCGCCGCAGCGCUGUCCGCGACGUUCGUUUGCUAGCCACGGUUCGGACGCGGACUACAACGAACCAACUGGCAGGCUCUUUCCUGAGUGCUAUGAUGAGAAUGGUGUGAAGCAGAGACAAGGUUGGGAGACGGUUACAUAUGCUACAUAUGGUUUGACGUUCGUACUUUUGGUGUUUGGGCUGAGCAACAAACCCGAGUCUAGAACGCUGCAGCGCGAGCGGAGGAAACCCUGAGGAGCAGCGGCACUGGCUGUCACGCUGUACGAAACUCGCGGAGAAACUGUCCAGCAACCCAUGUCCGACUCGAGUGGUGGUGCUGCUGUCUCUUCUGGACUUGGUGUUGUCUGGCGUGUUGUCACUGGGGCAGGCGGCUCUGCUCAAGAGCAUGGUUCAAGCUAUCUCGUUCCUGGUGCUGGUUCACAGGCGUCGUGGUCAGCAUACCAUGUCGGUAAUACGUCAUUGUUAUAGCAGCUGGACGACGUAUGCGUCUAGCACUGAGCACCGCACAGACCGGAGUUCAUCGAUGACGUGCGUGAAUGUGUUUGAGAGAUCGUUUAUCGGGGCAGACGACGAAAUAGCCCCCGACACGCUGCCAUACUGUGUCAGGCAUUUCAUCGCUCAUAUCCGCACACAGGUGCACGCGUCUUUGGCGACAUGAACGUAGCCAUACGUUCAAUACCUGUUACGAACCGAUGCGAUCAUGACCCAGUUUGGUAUGCCGGGUCAGUGCGGAGGUAUGUGCAUUGUGUAGACACGAGACGGACACAGGCCUUGGGAACAGUACCAGCCGACGCACCAUGAUGCUGGCCCUUCAUUGAUCGACGACGAACAAGCACAAACCAUUGAGCACGGUGCGUUCCUUCGGCUCUGGAAGCUAUGGGCAUCUGAGGGCAAACGAGGGGCCUGCAACGAGUCUACCCUGCGCAUCGUUCACCUUGAAACCUAGGCUCCGGCAUCCAAGAGUCGCGCACCUACGAUACGCAGGCGUUCAACGUCGCCGCAUGAGCGCGUCGCGUUUGCCGCUUCAUCGACCAACGUGCCGCCGACGUCAUAGGAUCGAUGUGCCGGCAGCGGGCAGUUUCCACGCAUCUAUCGCGUCUACCGGGAGGCUACAAAAAAAAGCCACCCGCCAAUGUUGCUGCUGCGCAUGCUGCCUGCGGUUUAUUCACAGGCAACAGAUCCGUUUAUCCCAUGCGUCUUCGAAUACCUCCGAAUGUGUGGGCAUCACGUCCAACGCACCGACCCUACACGAUAAAGCAUGCCGCUGCCCAGA